CAGUCGCCACGGUAAAACGUAGGUGGCAAGCGUUGUCCGGAAUUAUUGGGCGUAAAGGGCUCGCAGGCGGUUUCUUAAGUCUGAUGUGAAGGCCCCCGGCUCAACCGGGGAGGGUCAUUGGAAACUGGGAAACUUGAGUGCAGAAGAGGAGAGUGGAAUUCCACGUGUAGCGGUGAAAUGCGUAGAGAUGUGGAGGAACACCAGUGGCGAAGGCGACUCUCUGGUCUGUAACUGACGCUGAGGAGCGAAAGCGUGGGGAGCGAACAGGAUUAGAUACCCCAGUAGUCCCUGUCUCUUAUAC
rnacentral:rRNA from 1 species